rnacentral:tRNA from 1 species
GGGGAUUUGGCUCAGUGGUAGAGCGCUUGUCUAGGAAGAACAGGGUCCUGGGUUCAGUCCCCAGCCCCG